GUCACACCCAAAUACACAUCUCUUCGUGUUUUCGGUUGUGCAUGUUGGCCCAACCUCAGACCCUAUAACACACGCAAACUCGCUUUUCGCUCCAAAAAGUGUGUCUUCUUAGGCUAUAGUCCCAUGCACAAAGGAGUUAAAUGUCUAGAUGUUCCUACUGGUAGGGUCUACAUAUCCAGAGAUGUAGUUUUUGAUGAGUCAGUGUUCCCUUUUGCUUCCCUUCAUCCCAAUGCUGGUGCACUUCUCCGCAAGGAAAUCCUUCUUCUUCCUCCACAUCUUCGGUCUUUUGAUCAUGGGGGCGACAGUUGUACUAACCAAAGUGAUGAUAUUCCUGCUGGUAUUGGUUCUUCUCUGUUGCCUGUACAGGUCCCUGGUGAAAACGGCGCUCAAAAUGAUCAAAAUUUCGAAAAUCAAGCUCAAGAUCAUCUUAUAUUUCAUGCUGAGGAAGGAGACGAACCUGGCACAGAUGACGAAGCUGAUCCGGCGGCGCCCGCAACUCCUGUUCGUGCGCAGACCUCGGAUCCCGCGGCCAAAUCAGCCUCGGAUCGCGCUCCCACCAACCGCAGCGCUGAUUCAGCAGCAGGCGGGACCAGCUGCGGGGUCGGCUGCGGGGCCGAAUCCGCCUCGCCCAGCGCGCGCCACUCCCACGCCGCCACCUCAGCAGCAGGCGGGACCAGCCAUGGGGCCGAAUCUCCCUCGCCCAGCGCGCGCCUGCAACCGCGGUCGGGCGGUCGAUCCGCUGUGCCGGCUCGGGCGGCUGGCACCCGUGUGGUGGACACACAAGCGGCCACACCAACGGCUACAGGAUCCUCUGCGCAGGUGGUGCCA
rnacentral:rRNA from 1 species